ensembl:lncRNA
CUUAAUUCUUCAGUUGACCAUACUCUUUUUCUUUGGUUGACCCUUGUCCCAAACUAGAAGUCUCCUAAGGUGACAGAGAGAAGUGUAAUGAGAAUGAAAUGAGAAAAUGUAUUGUGAAGUGCCUGCACGGGCACAGAUGUAUACAUGCCAGAAGCCUAGGAGAGACCGAGGAUUAGUUGUUGAAAAGCAAAGAUGGAGUGUAUAGCGGCUCUGAAAGUUGGGAUAUAAAAGGAACAUGGCAAUGACACAUUUAUAUUUUGGAAGAAAGGAAUUUUCUCUGUUCAGUAAUAAGAAGAUGACAAUGGGAGUGAUAUGGUUUGAAUGCUUAAGAAUGCUUCAUCGGGAUGUGCUCCUUUUGGAUAGUGGGGGAGUCCUGUGUCUUCUUUCUCUGAAGCCCUGAACUUAGCAUUAAAAAGACAAGGCAAUGGCAACCCACUCCAGUACUCUCGCCUGGAAAAUCCCAUGGAUGGAGGAGCCCAGUAGGCUGCAGUUCAUGGGGUCGCACAGAGUUGGACACGACUGACACGACUUAGCAGCAGCAGCAGCAGAGCAUUAAGAGGCACAUGCCUUGAUAUGUUAACUGAACUUAUUUGUGGUGAGUAUUUUGCAUUAUAUACAUACAUCAAAUCAUAACAUUGUACAUCUUAAACUACCCAAUGUUAUAUGUCAAUUAUAUCUAAUUAAAGUUGGAAAAAUUAAAACAAUAAUAACAGCAAAACUCCGUAAGUUUUGUUGACCUCUUGUAGGAGAAUGAGCGCAAAUGUACUUAAUAUUUUUGUCACUACAGUUAAGGUCAUUAUACUUAUAUGGAUCUACCCGCUAGUUUUUCAGGUUAUUUUUUUCCAACCAAAGUCAAGAUUUAAGAAAA